rnacentral:rRNA from 1 species
AGUGGCGGACGGGUGAGUAACGCGUAGGAAUCUGUCCAUGGGUGGGGGAUAACUCUGGGAAACUGGAGCUAAUACCGCAUGAUACCUGAGGGUCAAAGGCGCAAGUCGCCUGUGGAGGAGCCUGCGUUCGAUUAGCUAGUUGGUGGGGUAAAGGCCUACCAAGGCGAUGAUCGAUAGCUGGUUUGAGAGGAUGAUCAGCCACACUGGGACUGAGACACGGCCCAGACUCC